rnacentral:rRNA from 1 species
AUACAGAGGGUGCGAGCGUUAAUCGGAAUUACUGGGCGUAAAGCGCGCGUAGGCGGCUUGGUCAGUCGGAUGUGAAAGCCCCGGGCUCAACCUGGGAAUUGCAUUCGAUACUGCUUGACUAGAGUAUGGUAGAGGGAAGUGGAAUUUCCGGUGUAGCGGUGAAAUGCGUAGAUAUCGGAAGGAACACCAGUGGCGAAGGCGACUUCCUGGGCCAAUACUGACGCUGAGGUGCGAAAGCGUGGGGAGCAAACAGGAUUAGAUACCCCAGUAGUCC